UCCUAGAAUUGGAUAUUUAAGGUAUACAUUGUGGUGAGUUGAUAUACGUGUACUUUGUCAAAGGAUUCUCUUUUAAUGAAUGCACCCAUCACUCACAGGUUUAUCUUUUUAUCUUUUUUUUUUUUUUUUUUUUCCCGUAAGCACAUUAAUUUCUUCCUUAACUGGUUUCUUUCGAUUAUACAGUUCGGUGUUUGCAGCGAUAGUUGGUGUAUUUUACAUUAGAUCCGCAGGCUUUUUCUAUCUUAUUCCUGCCUUGAACAUGUGCUGAAUUCUACUCACAACCAGGCCCAGCGCGUGUUACCAGGGACCCAGCAGCGUUUCACUUCUUGACGCUCUGCUCCCUCCUCACGUGACCGACCUUCCUUCGUUCCUGCUCCCCUCCCUGCUUGUGAUGUCCUAACCCCUCUAUCAGAACAUCUCCACCUGCAGAGUUUGGCAAAGGGGCGUGAGGGGCGUGCGCCUCGCUGGUUUCCCUGGUAACUGAUGAGCCCACCUGACAUACCCCUCCACCAACAGGCAACUUCCCCCUUCCUCUGGGAGGGAAGACGCCGCCUUGUCCUGCCUGCCGUCCGCAGCACAUAGUGGGGUGUCGCUCCAGGACCCUGCCUCAGACAUGUGAAGUAUCCUUGAAGGUCCUCUUUGAACUCAGCAGCUAAGCUACCCAUCCGCCUUCUUCCCACUACCUACGGACGGACAUCUUUACAACACAGCUGCACAACUGUCUCUUGUCUUGAAUGCUCCUCUAAUGGUUUCACACGUGGAUAUCUCCUGUCUUCCAGCCAGCCUGUACUGCUAGUGUGGCUGGAAGGACGAACUCCCCAUCAUGUGGAUAUGUCCCUGUAUUUGAGCAUCUUUAAAAGUCUCUCUUAAUUUUGGAUGAUUUAGUAAUAACGCAGAGUGUGGCAGCUAGUUGAGAUUCUCCCACCAAAUACCAGAAUUUUUUUUCAUUUCAAUAUGCUUUUUUUUACUUAAAAAACUCACAAAAUAUUUCCUAGAGUGACAGCUGAGCUUCCAUAUUUAUGAUUUUCUGAUUGCUCUAGCAGUUGAGAAAAAAAAUUAAAAAAUGAGCCCUUGAGUAAAAUUUAAGUGGAAAAGAUUAAAAUCCAGAAUUAUGGACUUUCUUCAUUUGAAUAAAUACACACUGUUUGCUGGAAAGUUUAUGUGCCAGCCAGUUUCCCUGUAGCUGACAGUCCUUGAAAAAGUACUUAAUUUCUUUCUUGAAAAUAUAUGAACACUUUUAUUUUCUGAAGAUUAACCUUGUCGGACCAGCACAAUCGUCCCCAUCCCCCUUGCUCUACUUCUGUCUGCAAACCAAGGAUAGACACCACUGAUCUUACGAACAAAUGAUUCAGUUUGGGGCAUAAGCGAAGAACCUGUGAGUGAGUGAAAUGGAUAAAUGGCAGAACAUCAUUAUCUUCAGGAUAUUUUAAACUGAUACUAUGAUAAUAGUCACAGGGCUACUCAACACUGUUCAGUCAUUUAGUUUUUCCUGAGCUCUUGUUUUCCUGAAGGAGUUUUCAGAUUCAAACAUAUUUUGCUUUAGUCACUUACUUUAUUUGUACUUUAGUCAAAGUCUUAGGAUUAAAUUAAAUCAUAUUUCCUUACCCCCAA